rnacentral:lncRNA from 1 species
AUGCAGACCAGGCUGGACCGCCACAAAAGAAGGCACCGCAUCUCGUCCCAUGCAUUCCACCGGCUGCCCCAUGGAGGCAUCUCUCUCCUUCUCUGCAGGCUGGAUGCUGGCCAGGUCCAGGCUACUGUCACCUCCCACCUGACCACCAUGACAUCCUUGUACCUGGUUUCCCUGCCUCGGGCUCCUUUCUCAUCCACCCCUACUGAGCAGCUACCCUGCAGCACACACCCACCCUGUCCUCCUCUGCGACAUGCACACACACACACAUGCGCACACAUUCACACUCACACAUACACGCACAAAGGACCCCAAGGUCCUGGUGGCUCCUCUUGUCUUCAGGUUGAAACCCAAACUCCUGGACUCUGAUGCCUUUGUGAGCUAAUCUCCACUGCUCCUCCAUCCCCGUUUCCCGCUGAUCCCCCACAGUGCCCUCCCCCUCCAGCCACGAGGUCCAUCCCUCAUCAGGGCUGGGAUGGAAGAGAUCGUCUAAUCAAAGUAGGGCUGGUUAGAGAAGGUGGGCAGGACAGGACCAUCAGGAAAGCUACAAACCCAGGAAGGGCCCCACCUCCCCUCCCAGGUCCUGAGCAUGCAGUUGCCCUGGUCGUGGGGUCUCCCUAACUCUGCCUCAAGGCUUGACCUCUUGUCUCUCAGCUUGUCAACCCUCCUUUCCCCUGGAUACUUGCUCUGCCUGGCGGGGUGUCUGCUCACCCACGGGCUGGCCUCCCAGCUUCUCCCACAUAAAGCUCCUUAUAAAGAAAUCCACACCCGGAAUGAUUCCUGUUUCCCCGAGAGCAGGGAAAUGUUAAUUACCACCAGCGCCUUCCUGGUCUUCUUGCAAACCUCCAUCUCUGAGCUCUGUGAUAGGGAAUUAGGUCCUGAUUAAAGGAAGGCAACACCGUUCUGAGAUCGCAUUUCCCUGUCCUCAGGGAUGACGGGCAGCAAGGGAGGAUGAGGGGGAAAAGGAGAGGAGCAGGGGGGAGGGGAGAAGGAGAGGCGAGGGGGAAAGUGCCGCUGGGUGUUUGUGCUGGGUGGGAGCACGGGGCUUUGGGACACAGCUAGGCCAUAGGCGAGCCCCGCGAGGAACAGCAGGUGAGCGUCGAGCAGACCAAGAACCCUGCCAGACUGGAUGUUCAUUUUUCCAUCUCUGACGUCUGGACACACUGAAUCUCCACAUUACUUGGCUGUGGUGGAAAGUUGAUUUGUUCAAAGAAAAUAAAAUAUGCCACCUGC